GAGGAUUGCAUGCUUCUUACAGACGUCAGUAUUGGCAACAAUUUUUUUUUUUUCGUUGUUCAAAAGUCUCUUGCUCUCUGCACUUUUGUUCGCUCCUGUCCUGAUGUUCACAAACCAGUCUGCUCUUACCUGUACCGUUUGCCAUCCAAAAUGUUUUCGGAGCCGGAGAGAAAGGUAAAAAGAUAUAAAUCUGAAUUGUUCAUAUUGUGCACCUUUUUUUCGCACUACUUCCUGGUCUAUAAUAGGAGCAGGGUAUUAGUUGAACAGUAUUGUCUGUUAAUGUACUGCUGUUUUUGUUUUGUUUAUUUUACUGUGCCUUAAGUUUGUCUACACUUACUACACCUGGGUAAGUUGGAGUUUUUUUUAAUUCUUUACUAAACCGUGAAUUAUGAUGAACUGAAAACCGAAUUCUAAGAGUAAGGCUGAAAUAGUUUCUAUGCAAAAAUGCAUUUAUUUUGAAGCAUUGGCUAUUUUAGGAUUAUAUAUAUAUAUUUUUUUUUAUUGAGUUUUCCUGUCGCUACUUGGAAAUGAAAGGUCUGAAGUUACAAUUAAGGAGCCUCCAAAUAAAACAGGUUAACUUUGAUAAAUCUCUAGGCUCUUGUUUCAUGCCGGCUGAGGAUCAUGUGCGAUGCAGUUCAAACACCUAUAGAAAUAAAAGAAACUGCAGCGUCAACUAACCCUCCUACUCUAUGUCCUUAAUAGGCACAUAAAAUUAUACUGUACAUACUGCAAUGCAUACGUUAGCCUUGAAGCAAGAUAGUUAUUUUAUAAGUUAUUUCCACGUCACCUGUGGCAGAUGGAAUCACUUCCCCAAUGUCAAUUUUUUGGUAAACUUUUGCUUUAAUAAUUACAGUUUUAUAUAGGAUGGGUAGAAUGGAUUCUAACUGAAUUCCCUGGCCAGUUUAAUACAAAAACAAUAGUUUCAGAGCUGUCGUAGUCAGUCAGGGGCUGCAAAACCAAGCCCCUGGUUUGGCAGCCACGGCUAAUUUGUGGCACACGGCGUGAAGUGGUGUGCACAUGCCUGUAGCCUCUGAUCAGCUGACACAUCUGUCAGUAUAAACAGAACUAUAUCCUGCCAAGACUUCUGCAUCUGGAAGACUGCUUUGGGCUUUUAACUUCUCCCUCUAUGUUAUAAACCAAGACAACAAAAUCAAAACAUUUCCUUUCGCAAAAUAAUGCCAUCAUAAAAGUCAACUCAACGGAAAACAAGUCAGGGAGAAUGUGUCAGGCUGCUCAUAAAAAGUCCAACAAAUAUUCAAAUAUUCUAUAUCUAAAUAGAUUGUGUUGCUUCAUGUGCUAAUACAAUAUUUUAGAAUACUGGCAUAGAGUCUUUAUGGGCCAGACAGUGAUAACAGAAUGUAGUAGCACGGUAUGAAAUAUUAUUGGUCUUUGAUGGGUUAAGAGAACAUAUUAUAAGAGAUGUAAUAUCGCUGCUAUAUAUGUAGUGUUCUACUAUUAAUAGUUUUCACUCCCGCAAAACCUUUAUUUCCUUGUAGAUCUAAUUUCUACUAUUUUGUCUCUUGAGAUGUGUUUUUGCAGUCAGUAGCAAGAAGUUCACUGGUGCUAUUAAUCACUCGUUAAUUGAGCUGUAGUUUCUAUUUAUAAACACUUUUCGUUGUUUGUUUUUUUAUUACAGAAGACAAGUUAAUACUGAGGAAACAUUCACUCAACAAGGGUUAGGGAGAUCAAGUUUGUCAUAUUAUAGCUAAUUGGGUCUAUAUUUAUAGGAAAGCAGGAUUCUACAUCUCUAAAUCCAAAAUUCCAAAACGUUCCUUUCCACGAGGUUAUAAAUAUUUGUAUUCUUAUUAUUUUGAAAUAUAAAUACAAUACACUCUUUCACUUAAUUACCAAUGUAUUGUAGUGGGUACAAUAAGUGGACUCAAUGGAAAAUGCAUGUGAAUUCUUUAGAAAUUGGUUUACAUGUUGUGAGCUUUAAAGGGACACACCAGUCCCCUAAACUGAGUUCUUUAUGGAUUAACUGCAUUUCAUCUCUGGCUUGUUUCAUAGACGUGCCCAUUUCAAGAGAAAUCAGCACAUUACAAAUCUCCUGUUAUGCAGACAGCUGUAAAGGUUUUUGAACUAGUUCAAAUGAGAAGUGAGCACCAUUUUGUUUCAAUGCUUCUCUUUGAGAAGCAUCUGAUUAGACACAUCUCAUCAGUAAUAAUGGCUUUGCGGGAGGAGGGAAUCAGAGCUGCUGUGAGAAGCAGGGUCAGACUGGGAAAACAUUUUCAAGGAUUUAUCACCAGGGAAUCUUAUGGACAGAGCUCUGCUGAAGAGCUCUCACAUAGGGAAAAUGCCCUAUUUUUGUUUUACACAGCGCAUGCAAAUUUAAUGACACGGUUGCGCAGUGUUUACAGGUGAAUUGUCUCUGGUGUCCCCAUAAGAAGAAUUCCAGAGGACAAAAGUAGGACAGGCCGGUACAGAGUGUUGAGCUUGUGUUGGGAGGUUGUCUGUGGGACUGCAUUUGUGUAGAGACAGCUGUUUGUGGUGUAGUAUGCGUAAAGGGGCAUUUUUAGUGGUGUAUUAUGUGUUGAAAGGGCUGUAGUUUGAAUUUGUGUCCACACAUAACGUGUGUAAAGGGUGUGUCUAUUGGUUGUAGAGAUUGUGUGUGUGUGUGUGUGUGUGUGUGUGUGUGUGUCUAGAGGGUGUAGUGUAUUUGUCCAUGGAAUGUAGUGUGUGCCUAGGGCAGUGAUGGCGAACCUAUGGCACGCGUGCCACAGGUGGCACGCCAGGCCCUCUCUGUCGGCACGCGGCCACAGGUUCGCCAUCAAUGCAGAGUAGGCACCUGCCUGCCCGAAACGGCAGGCGCCUACUCUGCUUCCGGGUCGGGAGGCAGGGGGAGGGAUCUGUGAUGCAGCUCCCCUGUCCUCCCGCGCGAUGCUGUGUGGAGCAUUGCCGCACGUUACCAUGGCAACGCUCCACAUAGCAUUGCACGGCAGGACAGGGGAGCUGCAUCACAGAUCCCUCCCCCUGCAGUGCUUACCAUCACCGGACCACCAGGGAUGGCUGUGUGUCCCCCCCCCCCACUUCAUUAAAGGUAAGAAGGAGGGAGGGGGGGUAUACUGACACAGCACCCUUACCCCCCCAGCACUACCCUUACCCCCCCCAGCAGUACCCUUACCCCCCAGUACCCCCCAGCAGUACCCCCACACCCCCCAGCAGUACCCCCACCCCACCCCAGCAGUACCCUCUACUCCCCCAGCAGUACCCCCCCAGCAGUACCCCUACCCUACCCCCAGCAGUACCCCCACCCCCCAGCAGUACCCCUGCCCCCACACACACAGUACCUCUACCCCCACACAGUGUACCCCACCCUCCAGCAGCACCCCACCCCCAAGAGCACCCCUUACACAUACAACACACAGCACCCCCCACACAUACACAGCACCCCACACACACACACACACAGCACCCCACAACACACACACAGCACCCCCACACAAACACACACAGCACCCCCACACCCCCACACACACAGCACCCCCCACACACACACACACACAGCACACACACACACACACAACCCACACACACACACACAGCACCCCUCACAUACAACACUCACACACAUACGCACCCCCCCACACACACACAGCACCCCCCCACCUCAAUGCAGUAUGUGUGUAUUCAGCAGUGUGUGUGUGUGUGUUUGUAUUCAGCAGUCUGUGUGUGUGUGUGUGUGUAUUCAGCAGUCUGUGUGUGUUUGCGUGUACUCAGCGGACUGUGUGUGUGUACUCAGCAGUCUGUGUGUGUGUGUACUCAGCAGUCUGUGUGUGUGUGUGUGUGUGUACUCAGCAGUCUGUGUGUUUGUAUUCAGCAGACUGUGUGUAUGUAUUCAGCAGUCUGUGUGUGUAUGUAUUGCUUUUGUUGGAGAUACUAAUAAAUAUAAGCUUAAUUUUAUCUAUUUAUAUCAUUAUUUAAAAUUUGUAUCAUUGAACUCUCUGUGUUCUUUUAAAACUAAAGUUAUUAGUUCGGACAACAGUACGAGUUGUUUUUUCUAAACUUAAACCUCAGUAUUUGGGUUUAAUUGCCGUGUUGGCACUUUAAGGAGAAAAAAAGUUGGCAUGUAUUGCGGUUUGGGCACUCGGGCUCAAAAAGGUUCGCCAUCACUGGCCUAGGGGAAUCUCUGCGUUAGCAUAGGGCCUGUAGUAUAACAUGUACAAAGAUUGUAUGGUGCAUAAAUGUGUAUUGGAGCCAUAAUGUGCAUGUAAAUGAAUAGAGGCUGUUGUGAGUGUGUUCAUUAGGAGCUCUUGUGUGGGCUGUUUGUGUAUGUACAGGAGCUGAAGUGUCUGGGUAUGUAUAGGGGCUGUAAUAUGUGUGUUGUGAUGCAUAGGGGCUGGAGGGUGAGAAAGAAGAGCAUUUAGAUACGUAUUUUUAAAAAAAAAUAUCCCCUCUUUUGUUAGCUUUGGCCCAGGGAAGCGGGGACACCCUGGUGGUCCAGUGGGCUGAGUGCUGACAGGAGCUCAUGAGAGCAAUGCACUUUGUCCACACCAGCCUGAAGUGUAAACCAGAUACUCCCUGCACAACUCUGCCUCUGUGUGCAACGCGCCGGUGAUGGAGAUCUGUUAUCUCCCUACUGGCCCAUGAAGGGACUGAUCAUAGGACUUCCAGCCUUGGAUUGAAUGGGCAGGAAUAUGCUUUAAACUCUCUGGCCAGCCUUGGCACAUGGCCAUUGUGGCCCACCGGGCCAAAAAGGUUUACUGGAACUGGAAUUACGUUAGUAUAAUUGAUUUUUAAUUGCUUUUUAUACCUAAGUGAGUGGAGCUAGUAAUGUACACUCCAAUAAAUAAAAGAAAAAAGAUUAUACACUGCUCAUAAAAACAAAGGGAACACUUAAACAACACAAUGCAACUCCAAGUCAAUCACACUUCUGUGAAAUCAAACUGUCCACUUAGGAAGCAACACUGAGUGACAAUCAAUUUCACAUACUGUUGUGCAAAUGGGAUAGACAACAGGUGGAAAUUAUAGGCAAUUAGCAAGACACCCCCAAUAAAGGAGUGGUUCUGCAGGUGGUGACCACAGACCACUUCUCAGUUCCUAUACUUCCUGGCUGAUGUUUUGGUCACUUUUGAAUGCUGGCGGUGCUUUCACUCUAGUGGUAGCAUGAGACGGAAUCUACAACCCACACAAGUGGCUCAGGUAGUGCACCUCAUCCAGGAUGGCACAUCAAUGCGAGCUGUGGCAAGAAGGUUUGCUGUGUCUGUCUGCGUAGUGUCCGGAUCAUGGAGGCGCUACCAGGAGACAGGCCAGUACAUCAGGAGACAUGGAGGAGGCCGUAGGAGGGCAACAACCCAGCAGCAGGACUGCUACCUCCGCCUUUGUGCAAGGAGGAACAGGAGGAGCACUGCCAGAGUCCUGCAAAAUGACCUCCAGCAGGCCACAAAUGUGCAUGUGUCUGCUCAAGCAGUCAGAAACAGACUCCAUGAGGGUGGUAUGAGGGCCCGACGUCCACAGGUGAGGGUUGUGCUUACAGCCCAACACCGUGCAGGACGUUUGGCAUUUGCCAGAGAACACCAAGAUUGGCAAAUUCACCACUGGCACCCUGUGCUCUUCACAGAUGAAAGCAGGUUCACACUGAGCACAUGUGACAGACAUGACAGAGUCGGGAGACGCCGUGGAGAACGUUCUGCUGCCUGCAACAUCCUCCAGCAUGACUGGUUUGGCAGUGGGUCAGUAAUGGUGUGGGGUGUCAUUUCUUUGGGGGCCGCACAGCCCUCCAUCUGCUCGCCAGAGGUAGCCUGACUGCAAUUAGGUACCGAGAUGAGAUCCUCAGACCCCUUGUGAGACCAUAUGCUGGUGUGGUUGGCCCUGUGUUCCUCCUAAUGCAAGACAAUGCUAGACCUCAUGUGGCUGGAGUGUGUCAGCAGUUCCUGCAAGACGAAGGCAUUGAUACUAUGGACUGACCCGCCCGUUCCCCAGACCGGAAUCCAAUUGAGCAAAUCUGGGACAUCAUGUCUCGCUCCAUCCACCACCGUCACGUUGCACCACAGACUGUCCAGGAGUUGGCAGAUGCUUUAGUCCAGGUCUGGGAGGAGAUCCCCCAGGAGACCAUCCGCCACCUCAUCAGGAGCAUGCACAGGGAGGUCAUACAGGCACAUGGAGGCCACACACACUACUGAGCCUCAUUUUGACUUGUUUUAAGGACAUUACAUCAAAGUUGGAUCAGCCUGUAGUGUGUUUUUCCACUUUCAUUUUGAGUGUGACUCCAAAUCCAGACCUCCAUGGGUUGAAAAAUUUGAUUUCCAUUGUUUUAUUUUUGUGUGAUUUUGUUGUCAGCACAUUCAACUAUGUAAAGAACAAAGUAUUUCAGAAGAAUAUUUAAUUCAUUCAGAUCUAGGAUGUGUUAUUUUUGUGUUCCCUUUAUUUUUUGAGCAAUGUAUAUAUUUUGUUUUUCAAUUGGAGUGUUUCUUUAAAAUAUGAUUGCUUCUUAUCCAUAUGACAUAUUUGCUGAAGUAAAAUAGUAUGGUUGGAACCAGCGUGUGCAUCCCGCGUGCUCAGUCCUUUCAGUCCCAAGAAAUGAGUAACUCAACACAUCCUGGCAUUAUUACCUCAGUCAAGUAGCAUUUGUUCCUUUCAUUUCUUUAUAAGUUAAAUAAUUAAUACUGACAUUUUACAGUAUUACUUUGCUGAGAUUCAACUGAGCCAGGAAAUGCUGUCUAAAUCUUAAUGACAAAGUUUUAUUAAACUAACUCAGACCAGAAGGACAGCAAACCUCAAAUAGCAAGAUAAUUGCCAAACUUUUUCUAAACGGUUUGAUGAACUACCAUUGGCCAUCAAAUGAAGAUUCCAGGCACCGUAACCAAUACAGAGUGCUGUGGUGCUUGUGUUAUCUAAAAUGCCCUUUUAAAAAAUAUUUAUAGUUUGAUUAACUAAUUUGACUUCCCUGAUGUUGGCAGUGAGUUUUUUCUCUGUUUCAUCAUAAACCUUUUAGACAUAUCCAUUUACAAAAUGUGCCUUUGUACAUGGUACGCAUUUUGCAUGUUUUCACAAAUAACUGAAACCAUGCUCUAAGUAUACAGUACAGGCACUGAAGUUUGGUUUCCAUGGCGUAAAUCAUUGAGAGCCGUCACCAAGUGAUGACUGAGGGCCUUGGUGUCAUGCAUUGACGUGAGAUAUGGAUGAGGGAGUUGCCAUGGUAACUUUCCUGAACAAAUAUUGGACAAUCUGCUUGGACUCUGUUUACCUGUCACAGGAAGUCUGAAAGGUUGAGCUUAAUGUACUCUGGUAAAAAUCUAAAAAUAAUUUCAUGAACAUACAAGAAAUAGACAAUAAACACAAUAAAUAAUCCCAGUAUAUAUAGGGCAUUCUAAUUUCAAAGAGUUCAAAGAGUGCUACUGAAUAUUUAAAUGAUAUAAUUCUAGUAUGCAUGUUAAACAAUCGCCAAUCUUGAUACUCGAAUAGCUUUAUGUAGGAACCUUGUGUCUAUAGAUACAUAGUUCCUGCAAAAAAAAAAAAAAGAGACUAAUUAAACAUUAAGCCAUACAUUACACCAUAGACAUGUGGGUUCCUGAAGGGCCCUCUUAUGAAUCUAGCAUCAUGUUAUACCUAACCAGAGCGAUUUAUAGUUUCCCAGAUGAAGGUGAUGGGUGUGCCAGUUAAUAUAAUACUCAGACAAUAAUAAAAUAAACUAGCCAAGCACCAUUUAUACAGAGUUUUCAGUCUACAACAGUGAGGUGAGGUGAAGAGUACUAUGGGACAGUCAAGUUAAGAGAAUAUGAAAUCCACACUAUAACCUCGAUUUCUUAGUGCUUGUAAAAACUGGGAUUAACAAAUGAUUUAUGCUUGUAUUUAUUUUAAAAGAUCUGUGAGACAUAUGAGUCUAACUCACAGUAUCAGGAGGUAGUAUAUGUACAGUUCCAGUAUAAUAAAAUGUCUUGGUUUUAAGACUUCAAAGUUGGGGGCAUAUUAGUUACUAGACUUGGAGAAUCGUUUUGGUUUUAGCUUCAAUUUGUUGAAUUUGGGCUGAUUAAGUGAUUGAUCAAAUUCCCAAACUCUAUACGAGAUGGUUGAGGAUUCUUGUGUUCAUUCCAGAUUUAAAGGAAAAAAAGAUUAUUGAGACAGUCACUAAAUGUUGAUUUUAUUCACAGAUUAAAUGAAAAGUAAGCAAUAAAGGGAAAGAAUUUGAAGCAGUAAAAAAUAAUCUAUAUUUAGAUGUUUAUAUAUCAUAUGUGUAAUAAAAAUAUAAUAUAUAUCAUUGAAAAAAAAAAUUAUACUGCUCCUACUAUUUUUCUUGACCAUUGUAAACCAAGUGGCAGAAAAUGCUGCUAUCAGUGUACUGAAAAAUAUAUACAUAGAAUUUGUGUGACCUUUUAAUUUCUCUGAUUUGAUUCCCGCAUCAGUUUUUCAGUACUGAAAUUCUGCCGAACCGACAUAUAGGCAAAAUUCGGAAGUCACAAAAAAUGUAACAUUUUCAGGAAAAACGGUUCAGGCAAUCUGAAUUUACUCGUUGUACACAAAUCUUUGAGAAACACCAAAUAAUGUUCAUCAAUGGAAAACUGAGAAUCCGCCAUCUCAGGGUUGGAACCAGUUGCUAAAUUCUUCCCAUUGAGAGUAAUAAGAGCUGUUAGUGAUUGUCUUUUAUUUAGUGGCUGCCGUUAACUUCCUGUCAAUGCUUGGGAAAUGUACAAAAUAAAGAUGAAGGAAUAGCGCACACACAAAAAUACGUUUUAAAUUGUACAAUGCUACUUAUAAUUCACCUAUCUCAGCAAAUAAAUAAGGGGAUUCAGUUCCACCAUAUGGCCAUAUUGUGUUAGUCCUCCACUACGUCACAGUACCCCAAUAUCGUUGGCUCCUAACCUAAUUUUGACAUGUUGAGACAAACGACUACUUAAAUAGUGACAGUACUAAAUUAAUAUAAAUUAUAUUAAAGUGCAUUGAAUUAAUCCUUAACAAUACCUAUUUGAUAUAGAGCAGAUUUAUCACAAUGCACUGUUACUGUAUAAUUAUAAGUUCUGUCACUUAGGGUUAGGGCUUGUAGUGUGGGGCUAUGGGGCUGUAGUAGAGGGAUGCUAGUUGUAAAUGGGGCUUAAAGCCUGUAGUGUGGGGAGGGGGUGGAGAGGUGCUGUCAUGUGGGUUAGAGGCACUAGUGGGGUGCUAUGAGCUGUAGUAGGGGUUAUGGUGUGUUAUGAUGGCGUGUAGUGGGUGAUUGUGGGGUGUAGUGGGGGUUAAAAGCCAGAAUGGAUUGCUUAGCACCUGAAAUGGUUGUUAGGGGAUGUAGUGUGGAUAGUAAGGGGCAGUAGUGGGCUUAAAGAGCUGUAGUGGGGGAUAGUGGCUGUAGUGGGGUAUAAGGGCAGUAUUAGAGGAUGGGCAGUAGUGGGGUUUAAAUAGCUGCAUUAAGUAUAGAGAUUGUAGUGGGAUGUAAGAGCAAUAGUGCGAGGUUAGGAGCUGUAGUGGGGGAUAUGGGGUAGAAGUGUAGGGUUAGAUGCUGUAGUGGGGAAUAGUCAGUCUCACUCCCCAGCGCCAGUGCUUAUUACAGGGAGAGGAGACAAUCGGUCUCUCUCCUUAGCCGCAGUAUCUCUCUCCCCAGCAGCAGAUUGUGUUCCAGGGAGGGGAGACAGUCAGUCUCAUUUUCCAGAGGCAGCAGCUUUCCUUCCCAGCAGAACCCUGGAUUUACAAAAGGGAGCUUGUGGCACGAGGCCCUCUGGACAACUGAACCUUUUGAGAAAGGUCACCAGACUAACACAGGGUUUGGUUAGUCUCCCCAGGAGGGGCAAGAUAUGUGACAAACACUCUUUUCCAUCAAUGCUUGCCACAAACUACUAGAGGAUUGUGGAAGCUGGCCUCCUGCCCAUCGACUAUAGUCCAGGUCUGAGACCCCAUUCGAGAGUUACCCUGCCCAGCAGCCAUUAGCAACUUUCCCUCGGUGCCCCUGUUUCAGCACUUUUCCUUCUUACGAAUGAAACCAAAUGCUAGCUCCCUGGUGGCAGUUGGCAUGAACAAACCAACGAAGGGUCCUCAUCGGUACUUAGCCGAGAACGCUAUGGAACUAAUUUCAGCACGAGGACUUUGUGGUUCCCGGUCACCUCGAGCGGUACUUAGCCGCAAAUGUUAUGGAACUAUUUUUGGCUAGGUGACCUUGCGGUUUUCUGGGCAAUUUGGUCCAGGGUUUUGAACUACUUUGCAACCCACCAGGAGAGCACUUUUUGAAAGGAAGGUGCCUGAGACUAAAGGGAACAAACGCUCCCUGAGAGCCAGGCGGAGCACCCCAUAUUUCGGACGCAGGAUGUAGGACAUGUGGGGUUAUUAUACGUUUUUAUGAUGUUUUGGGGUCAUUUUAUGUUUUUGUGUUUUUGUUUGGCUCUCUGCACCUUGGAGAUAAUUUGCUUAUCGGUCAUUAACUCAAUUAUCUCCCAGGCCCAGAGAUUAAUGGGAGGGGCUUGUAUUGUAUUGUUUGGAGACCUCCUGCUGUACAUAAAAGACCAAGAUUGGCUCAUUAAAAUCAGUUUUACUCCCAGAACAAUGUGUCGUCUAGUUACUGGGAGGGGAAAGAGCUAUUCACUAUCCUGUUCCAGCUCAUGGAAAAUUCACCGGGAAAAGUCCUUGUAAGGACUAUUGCUCCCAGGACUGUGUGUUGUCCAGUCACUGGGAGGAAAUAGAGCUAGUCCCCUAUCCUGUUCCAGGACGGAGAGGCUCCUGUCAAACCAUGGUGACAGGGGCAGAAGCGAUGAGGUUUUAGCAAGAAAGCGAUCCUUGGCAGAGGUUCCCAUCCAGGGUACAGGGAGCUCCACUACAGAGUAUAAGUGCAGUAUUAGUUAAGGGCUGUGGUUAGGGGCAGUAUUUGUAGGAUAGGGGCUGUUAUGGGGAUUAAAGAGCUGUGGCAGGGGAUAACAACUGCAGGGGGGUAUAAGGACACUGGUGGGAUUUUAGGAGCUGUAGUGGGGUUUAGUGGGAGUAGUGAGGGGUUAUGUGCAGUAGUUGAAUUUAGGAGCUGUAUUGGGGGUUAGGGGCAGUAGUAGGGGAUAGGGACUGUAGUUGGGGACUGGUGCUGUAGUGGGGUAUAGGGGAAAUAAUUUUAGGUUACAGGCUGUAGUGGUGGUUACGGACAAUAAUGCGGGAUUAUGAGCAGUAGUGUAGGUUUGUAGGCAGUAGUGGAGGCUAGUAGCUGAGGGUAAAGUUAGAAAAACAUUUUAACUUAAAAAAAAAAAAAAGUUUCUUCCCCACUCCAUAAAGCUUGCCUUGUAGUUAUUAUUCUAACAAUAAAUGCAUACUAAUAAAAUUCUAUGCCCUUAUUCGGUCACCACAAGAUGACCUGGCAACAGUUUCUACCCUUUCUAGUCCUUUCCAUUUUGGGUUGACUGAAUAAAGGCACAUAUUUAUUUGAAAAACAUGGUCAUUACUUAUCACUGUAUUUGUUGGGGUCCGAGGUGGAGUUCCUCAGCUGAGAUGUAUACAUAACAGGUGUGUUUUCAAUUUGAUAAGAGCAGGGAGCAGCCAUCCAGUGUGCCCGGGGUCCACAUUUAUUGAUUGUGCGAAAUGAAAUGAACACUCUACUCCCAAAACAAUUUUAUCUUAAUGACAUUGUUUUGGAGAUUUGAGUUCAUGGAUGCUGGCUUACUUUAAAGUGUUAAAAUGUUAUUGAAUGGUUUAACUCCUAAGCUGAUCCCUGGGCAGCCAUCUACACUCUUUAUUGCCUCUUGUGUUCGGCAGUUGCAGGAGAGCAGGAAGGGAAGCAAUGGGCGUUGAUGGUACUUACAUGGUUACAUAGUUACAAAGGCUGAAGAGAGACAUGUGUCCAUCAAGUUCAGCCUCUCUCUUAUAUCUUUUUGCCUAUUGAUUCAAAAUAAGGCAAAAAAAAAAAAAGUCUGAAGUGCUUUCAAUUUUGCAUCCAAUUUGCAUCAAAUUCCAAUUUAUCCAGUUGCUGUUUAAACAUCACUCUGAUAAAACCACCUCUUCAUGCAAGAAUUCCACAUCCUUAUUGUUUUUACUGUAAAAAAACCUUUCCUUUGCUUUAGACUAAAUCUCCUUUCUUCCAGUCUAAAUGUAUGACCUUGUCUCUUAUGUAUAGUUCUGUUUAUGAAUAGAUUUCCAGACAAUGGUUUGUUUUGGCCCCGAACAUAUGUGUAUAAUGUUAUCAUAUGCCCUCUGAGACACCGUUUUUCCAAACUAAAGAGAUUUAAAUUUGUUAACCUUUCUUCAUAACUAAGCAAAAAUUCUGUAGCCUGCCUCUGCACUUUUUCUAAUGCCAUAAUAUCCUUCUUUAGAACAGGUGCCAACAAUUGCACAGCAUAUUCAAGGUUGUGGGUCUUACCAGUUAUUUAUAAAGAGGCAAAAUUAUAUUUUCAUCCUGAGAAUUAAUGCCUCUAUUUAUACAUGUCAAUACCUCACUCAGGGCCUGCGCUACCAUAAGCCUUAGGGCGCUCUGGCCGCAAAUAUCCAGUUGACCAGCAGGAGAGAAGUGCACAGCGCUCCUCUCCUGAUGGUCAUUUACUGUAGCGUGGUCGAGCGCAGCAGGAGAGGUUGCCCGAGGGAGCUCUGAUCCAGAUCCACAUUUCCUGUAUAGCUCUCUCGUGCGCCCUGUUUAGGUCCUGGGAGCUGGAAUAUGAUGUCAUAUUCCAGCUCCCAGGACCUCUACAGGGUGCGCGAAGAAGCUAUACAGGAAAUGCGGAUCUGGAUCAGAGCUCACUCAGAGGUGCACUAUGGCAGCCCACUGGACACCAGGCUGUGCAUCCACUCCAGGUCUCCAGAAGUUAGUGAGACUGGGUGGAUUGAAAAGUGUGUGUCUUACAAUACUACCCCUGUCCCCUUACCCCCACAAUAGCUCCAGUCCCCCAUAAUGCUGCCCUACCCCAUACUGUAUCUAUCCCCCCAGUACCCUGCAAUGCUGUCCCCUUCCCACCAUAGCCCCUGUCCCCCACAAAACUGUCCCUUCCCCCACAAUAGUCCCAGUCCCCCAUAAUGCUGCCCUGUCCCUCAAAACUGUUCCAAUCCCCCCCCAUAGCCCCAGUCCCCUACAAUGCUGCUCUACCUCCCACAAUACCGCUCCUGCCCCCCCAUACUGUUCCUAACUCCCCCAACAUUGCCACAGUCCCCCACAAUACUGCCCCUGCCCCCCCACUAAAGCUCCAAACCCCAUAAAACUGUGCUGAUCCCCCCAAUAUAGCUCCAGAUCUCACAAUACUGUUCCUAUCUCCUCCACCAUAGACUCAAUCCCCCACAAUACUGUUCAUAUACCCUCACUAAUGCCCCUGUCCCACACAAUACUGCCCAUAUUCCACCACACUAAAGCCCCAUCCCCCAAAAUACUGUUCCUAACCCUACCACUAAUGCCCCAAUCCCCUAUGAUACUGCCCCUUUCCCCCCACACUAAAGAAUCAGUCCCCCACAAUAUGGGCCCUGUCCCCAUACUAAAGAAUUAAUCUGCGACAAUACGGCCCCUCCCCUUGACGGAAGCCCUAGUCCCACAGACACACAGUACUAAAGCCCAAUUGUACAGUGCUACAGAAUUUGUUGGCGCUAUAUAUAUUAUAAUAAUUAUAAAGUCCCUAUCCCACACAAUUCGGCCCCUAUCCCCCACACUAAAGCAAAGUGACACAGAAAGGGGCUGGUGGGCAAGUAAGAGACACAAGGGCUCAGGGAGGUGUAAGAUACUAAAUGUGGUAUAACACACACAGGGAUAACACAUUCAAGAGGGGAUAUGUAACACUAAAGGGGGUAAGAAAUUACAGCAUCAGCUAAAGCUGCCAACCUAUGACUGGCUGCCCGAUUUAAGUAGCAGUAUUCCCUGUUCUGCUUUGCUUCCUGCUCUUGUAUGUAGGUGGACCAAUCAUCUUUGUACUAUCUUGGCUUUUGAAUGGUGUCACACAUGUUUAAUAGCUUAAGGUAAAAUGGAUCCAAGGGACUCCAGUCCCCAAAACAGCUUUAUUGAAACAAGGCUUUUUUUCUUUAACUUUGUUUGGCGGAGUGGGAGGUUCAGUGUUCCUUUAACAGCAUAGAGCAGUUUAUUAACCCCUUCAAAUCCAGGUGUCUAUUUUUUUGAGGGGGGCACAGGGGGGAUUUAAUGACAGGCAACUGUCCUAUGUUUGCUUCGUGAUUGAAUUUUCCUUUAAACAACAUCAGACUUCAAUAAUAAAACUCAGUUUUAAUGGCACAUUUAAAAAUUUUACUUGAAGUUCUUGCAAAUGGGGUAUUUCAAUUUUUGCAAUAUCCCCCUGUAUGCUGGAAACAUACAGGGGGAUAUUUAAAAAGAGAAAUAGUAGUACAAAGUUUUAUGUUAAAUUAUCACGUGCAUUCUACUAGUUUUAAAGGUAAUUAUUCCACUUUUAAACCACACAAUUCCUCUUAAUCCCAAACUUUCUAGCACCCUUGGUUAUCAAUAUGAUCAGUAUAUUAUUAUAGUUAUGAUGAUCAAUUCGAGUGGUGCCUCUUUCAUAAAGACUGUGCUUGCAUUGAUUUCUUAUGCAUAACAUGGUUAUAACCCACCAACAUUGGGAUCCAGUAAAACAGGAUGCUGAGUGGCAGGAUAAAAGGGUUCUUUACUGGUAAUAUGAACCAUGUCAUGACCUACCCAGAAAGGGGACCGUAUCGAUUACUGUAUAGGCAAGUCAUCCUGGAUUGAAUUAACUUCCAUUCACGCAGACCAGCCCACCAAAGGAGAACCAUGCAGAGAGAAUUGAGCAUAGCAAGCGUGUCUAAUAAUGUGCUUGUGCUGCACUUUCUAGGCACAGUUCUCUGGUGUCCCCAAAAGCAGUACACCAGGGAACAAUCUUAGUCAGUGCAACAAUGCUGGUGUAGGAACUGUCCUGCUGACAGUUGGGAAGCCCACUGUAAUGAAAGCAGGGAGUGCUGGGGAUGGGUUAGCCUAGCAAUGCCAUCCAAUUUGGAUGGAAUUGCAUUUGAUUCAUCGGAAGAACAAUUUCUAUAUUUUAACGUCUGGAAGAGACCAAUUUUUUUAAAACUUCUGCAAAACUGUUCUACAAACAAACUAGGGAUUUGGCACCUGUAUUUGUAGCACCAAAACUGCUAUGGAGCUGUAAUGGGUAUUCUGAAUCUGAAAUCAUUGGGGUCUGCAGUCUAUGAACAUAUUUUGCAUUUGGAUAAAACAAAAAGAAAUUUAGAGCAACUCUGGGGAAAACUCCUAAAUGUGGAGCUAAGCACAUGGAAACAAACUGUGGCUUCUUCUUCUGAUAUAGUUAUUAGCAGAAAAAUCUCAAAAUGAUUGUUAGGUCCCUCUACAGCUCUAUCUGUGCAUUCUCAUAUCACCUCCAGGUAAGUUCACUGUUCUCUGUAUGGGAAUAUGUGGUUGCAUUUUAGUGAAUUUAAAAAAUUGCCAAUGCAGGAAGUCUGGACAGCAAGCAGGAGACAGGAGCCAACUGAGUGUCUCUCACAGCAAAAUUAGCUAAUUUUAAAAAAAACAAAAAAACUUCCAGAACCAGCCUAUAUUGUUUGAAGUAGUGAGAAUUUUUAAUAAAAAUUCUAUACAUAUUAAAAAUCAGCUUUUCUUUGAAUAUGAUGACCAAAAUUAACCAUAAAUACCAUAUUCUUUUAUCAAGUGAAUUUUUUUUUAAAAACAAGUCAUUUUAACAGAAACUCGAUUCAAUGGAAUGCUAUUUGUUUUAAAAUCACACUCAUGUCACAUUAUUUUAUUAACACAGACUCAUUUCUAACCAUGUUUCUUUCCUUUUAACAUCCAGCGCUCCCUUCAAUUUCUGGAGUUCUCUUUUUGGGAGGUCCGAAAUGCAAGAACUCGCC